UACGUAGGGUGCAAGCGUUAAUCGGAAUUACUGGGCGUAAAGCGUGCGCAGGCGGUGAUGUAAGACAGGUGUGAAAUCCCCGGGCUUAACCUGGGAAUUGCAUUUGUGACUGCAUGGCUAGAGUGUGUCAGAGGGGGGUAGAAUUCCACGUGUAGCAGUGAAAUGCGUAGAUAUGUGGAGGAAUACCGAUGGCGAAGGCAGCCCCCUGGGAUAACACUGACGCUC
rnacentral:rRNA from 1 species